rnacentral:rRNA from 1 species
GACGAACGCUGGCGGCGCGCCUAACACAUGCAAGUCGAACGAGCGAGAGAGAGCUUGCUUUCUCGAGCGAGCGGCGAACGGGUGAGUAACGCGUGAGGAACCUGCCUCAAAGAGGGGGACAACAGUUGGAAACGACUGCUAAUACCGCAUAAGCCCACAGCUCGGCAUCGAGCAGAGGGAAAAGGAGCAAUCCGCUUUGAGAUGGCCUCGCGUCCGAUUAGCUGGUUGGUGAGGUAACGGCCCACCAAGGCGACGAUCGGUAGCCGGACUGAGAGGUUGAACGGCCACAUUGGGACUGAGACACGGCCCAGACUCCUACGGGAGGCAGCAGUGGGGAAUAUUGCACAAUGGGGGAAACCCUGAUGCAGCGACGCCGCGUGGAGGAAGAAGGUCUUCGGGAUUGGUAAACUCCUGUUGUUGAGGAAGAUAAUGACGGUACUCAACAAGGAAGUGACGGCUAACUACGUG